CGAUGCUGCCUACCUGCUCGAUGUAGCUGACCAGUGAGUUGCGGUUCUGCUCCCAGUAAGUCUUCAGGUUGUCCUCACUGGGGAACCCCAGUGAGGACAACCUGAAGACUUACUGGGAGCAGAACCGCAACUCACUGGUCAGCUACAUCGAGCAGGUUCACCGGGGUGUAAAGGGCUUUGUGCGUGACCUCCAGGGAAGCCCCAUUUUCAAUGCCAGCAUCUCUGUGGAGGGCAUCGACCACGACAUCACCACAGCCAAAGAUGGAGACUACUGGCGCCUCCUUGCUCCAGGAAACUACAAAGUGGCAGCCACUGCCCCAGGAUACCUGACGGUCAUCAAGAAGGUGGCUGUUGCCUUCAGCCCUGCAACCA